GGCCAUUUCAGCAGCCGCCUGGGCGGCGGCCCCAGGGGCCCUGCCUCUGACACUGAGACCUUCAGGUGACAUGCUGGGCUGAAAUCUGUGCCGUCCUCCUCUCUUACCUGCCCCUCCAGACCUGGCUGUCAUCUGCUCGGGCAGGCCAAGGAGGCUGUGGCCUUGUGUCCCUCCCCUGCUGAAGGCCCAGGACCCUCCUCAAUUCAAAGGUCAGUGUCCCCCAAAGCAGCAGGCUAUGCCCCAUCCAGCACCACCCCCCACAGCCCCACACCACAGCACCUGCCCUGAAGGGGAGGGUGAGGCAAGAGGCCUGGCCCAGGGGCAGUGGUGUGAGGACUGAGACUGGAGGCCUGACUGCCUGAGACCCCCGGCCCCUCCUUGCUGUGUUGAGCCAAAUGUGAAGCUGGGUAUCCAGCCAAGAGGAAGCCCUGGAGCCCAGACCUGGGCCCCGCUCCCCAAGGAGCACAUACUCCCGGCUUGCUGUCCUGGCACAGCUCAAUGACACACGCUUUCCAGGCCUGCCUGGUGUUUGCCCAGGGAGACUGCAAGCUCUCUGCAGGCAGAGCCCACUGUCCCUGGAGCACUGCUCCCAAGGGCUGGCCAGCACUCCCAUCUGGCACCCAGCUCUGAGCGUCCAGGACCCUCCAAGCCCCCAGUGCCCCCAUCCAGGCUGAAGCUCACCCUUGAGCUCCAGGUUGGAGGGGAAGACUGUCGACCCCAGGUCAAAGACCUGUGGUCAAACAGAACCCACCCGAGCCUACAGGAUUUAGCCAGACUUUAGCUUUUCUGUGUUGGCUGGCCCCUGUCUCUCCCAGCCCCAACUCCAAGCAGGCAAAGCUGGUAGCCCACUAGCUCAGGGAGGUCUUCUGGUUUCUGUCCCCACCUCACCAGGAGCAGGCUGGGACAGCUCUGGGGCUUGACAGGGGCUCUGCCCCGAGGUGG
rnacentral:lncRNA from 1 species